AUACGAAAACACAAAAAACAGGUAGCCGAAUACAACUGUUCAACGUUCAUGUUAAAGAAUCUAAUAAAUCUAAUAAAUUCGUUUCAUUGAUAAAUGAGCAUGACUAUAAUAAUUUUUUGUAUAAUAAUUUGCAAGGAGGUAAAAAAAAAAGAUUAUAUCAUGAAAAAUUCAUUAAAUUAUAAUACAUUUAUUUCAAUGUUUUUAAAAGAGGAAAAUGAAAAGAGUAACAACAAAAACGAUAGUAAUAACAUGAAUAAUAAUACUCAUUAUUUUUAUGAUUAUGAUAAAUUUUUUAAAUUUUUUAACCGACGUGCGUUGAAUUAUACACCGGUUGUUUUUGACGCAACUUGUUCAACAUACAUAAAUAUUGAUAUUAAAUAUAAAAAUAAAUUGUUCCAAGAGUUAGAGAAUAUUUUAACUAUAAUACAAAAUGAACAAAAAAAUGGAGAACAAAAUGAACUAAAUGAAAAUAGCAACGUAUUAGUGAAUGAGAAUGUAUCAGAGGGUAAAGUCAAGUUAGAGGGUAAAGACACGUUAGAGGGUAAUGACACGUUAGAAGGUAAUGACAUGUCAGAAAUUAAAGAACUAUCAGAAAGUAUAGCCAUUCCAAAAAAUAAAAACCAUAAUAAAAUAUACCCUUCUUUUAUUUAUACGAAUAUAUUUAAGAUACCCGUUUUAUCAACAAUCCAUAUGAAUAUUCUUAAAAAAUAUGUACAAUUAAAUAAAAACACAAAAAAUAUAUUUUAUGAUUUAACACAAGGGAGUUUUUAUAACAUCUCUGGAAUGGUUAUUCAUUACACAGAAUUCGAAAUAAAAGUAAUUUUUAAUCUAGUCACCUGAAAAAAUGAAAAAAAAAAAAAAAAAAAAAAAAAAAAAAAAAAUGUCUAAACUUAUUUUAUACAAAAAAAAAAAAAAAAAAAAAAUAAUAUAAUAAUAUAAUAAUAAUGAUAAUCCAUUUUAUUAACAUAUCAUCUGUCCAUAUUUAAUAACUCUGUCACAGUU
rnacentral:lncRNA from 1 species